rnacentral:rRNA from 1 species
UUGAACGCUGGCGGCAUGCCUUACACAUGCAAGUCGAACGGUAACAGGUCUUCGGAUGCUGACGAGUGGCGAACGGGUGAGUAAUACAUCGGAACGUGCCCGAGAGUGGGGGAUAACGGAGCGAAAGCUUUGCUAAUACCGCAUACGAUCUACGGAUGAAAGCAGGGGACCGCAAGGCCUUGCGCUCAUGGAGCGGCCGAUGGCAGAUUAGGUAGUUGGUGGGAUAAAAGCUUACCAAGCCGACGAUCUGUAGCUGGUCUGAGAGGAUGAUCCGCCACACUGGGACUGAGACACGGCCCAGACUCCUACGGGAGGCAGCAGUGGGGAAUUUUGGACAAUGGGGGCAACCCUGAUCCAGCCAUGCCGCGUGCGGGAAGAAGGCCUUCGGGUUGUAAACCGCUUUCGGACGGAAAGAAAUCGCAUGGACUAAUACUCUGUGUGGAUGACGGUACCGUAAGAAGAAGCACCGGCUAACUACGU